CAUGUCCUUUUGAAUAUGAUUUGAGGUCUAAUCUGCUCAAUGAUUUAUUAAAUUGCCGCGGUAUCUUGACCGUGCAAAGGUAGCAUAAUAAUUAGUUUUUUAAUUGAGAACUGGAAUGAAUGAUUGGACGAGGAAGAAGCUGUCUCCAUUUUAUUUAUUUUUGAAUUUUACUUUUAAGUAAGAAGGCUUAAAUUUUGUUUAAAGACGAGAAGACCCUAUAGAGUUUUACUUAAUUUAUUGUUAAUUAGUUUUUGGUAUUAAAAUUUUUUAAUUUUACUUAAGUUUAGUUGGGGUGACUAGAAAAUUUAAUAAACUUUUCUAAUUUUUUAUUAUUAAUUUAUAAAUUUUUAUUCUAAUAUUUUUAAGUAUAAUAUAAAUUACCUUAGGGAUAACAGCGUUAUUUCUCUUAAAAGUUCAAAUUGUAAGAGAAGUUUGCGACCUCGAUGUUGGAUUAAAGUUAAUAUUGGGUGCAGUAGCUCAAUUAUUAAGUCUGUUCGACUUUUAAAAUUUUACAUGAUCUGAGU
rnacentral:rRNA from 1 species